UACGUAGGGGGCUAGCGUUGUCCGGAAUCAUUGGGCGUAAAGAGCGUGUAGGCGGCUCGGUAAGUCCGCUGUGAAAGUCCAGGGCUCAACCCUGGAAUGCCAGUGGAAACUGUCGAGCUAGAGUCCGGAAGAGGCGAGUGGAAUUCCUGGUGUAGCGGUGAAAUGCGCAGAUAUCAGGAGGAACACCAAUGGCGAAGGCAGCUCGCUGGGACGGUACUGACGCUGGAGACGCGAAAGCGUGGGGAGCAAACAGG
rnacentral:rRNA from 1 species